AUGCCUUUCCCCGGCCUGAAAAACGGGGGGCAGAUCAUUUUGGAAUCUGGAGAUGAACCCCGAAGGAUCAACAGUUCACUGCUUAAUGGCAACAAUCGAGUGGCCUUACCUGAGAGCAAGGAACAUGGCGGCAGGGCUCGGAAGAGGAACCCAGACGUCACCUCCGAGGCCAUGGCCCCGGCUGCCUCCUGCCGGUCCUCCUCGGGCGAUCUCCCCGACCAAGCGCUUUUCAGAUUCUGA
rnacentral:lncRNA from 1 species